rnacentral:misc_RNA from 1 species
GAAUAAACUUGACGCAGUUGUAGCUGGCUCCUAGGAGCAUGUGCACGCUCGUCACUUUUAUCUUUCCACCUGUGCACCCACUGUAGGCCUGGAUACCUCUCGCUUGGUAUCAAGCGGAUGCGAGGAUUGCUGCUGCUCUUUCUGAAAGGGAAGGCCGGCUCUCCUUGAAUUUCCAGGUCUAUGUUUUUCUUACACACCCCAAUAGAAUGUUACCGAAUGUUAUCAAUGGGCUUAUGCCUAUAAAACACAAUACAACUUUCAGCAACGGAUCUCUUGGCUCU